AGGAGACACUGCAGGGGGACCUGGGGUGGGGGAUGGAAUUGGCAGCGCUGUCAGCCAGACUUUAUACCCUCUUCACUGUGGGAGCAGGAGGUGGCUCUGGGGCACCAAGUUGCGCCCAGUCCUCAAUGGGCCCCUUCGCUGGGGUGCCAGUGCAGAUUCUGCGCGUAACCGUCCACCUAGCCCAGGCCCAGCCUAGUUCAGGGCCCCCAACCCCACUCCCGCGCCCCAAGCGCCGGAGCCCCCACUCAUUGGCGCCACUGGGGACCGGGGAGCGCAGGGCGCGUCGGGCAGGACUGGCCUAGAGAACAGAGGCUUGCAGGUGGGAGGAAGGCGGCG
rnacentral:lncRNA from 10 species